UGAGGAAUAUUGGUCAAUGGGCGAUAGCCUGAACCAGCCAAGUAGCGUGCAGGAAGACGGCCCUAUGGGUUGUAAACUGCUUUUAUGCGGGGAUAAAGGAGUCCACGUGUGGAUUUUUGCAGGUACCGCAUGAAUAAGGACCGGCUAAUUCCGUGCCAGCAGCCGCGGUAAUACGGAAGGUCCGGGCGUUAUCCGGAUUUAUUGGGUUUAAAGGGAGCGUAGGCCGCGUUUUAAGCGUGUUGUGAAAUGUAGACGCCCAACGUCUGCAUCGCAGCGCGAACUGGGACGCUUGAGUACGCGCAACGUUGGCGGAAUUCGUCGUGUAGCGGUGAAAUGCUUAGAUAUGACGAGGAACUCCGAUUGCGAAGGCAGCUGACGGGAGCGGCACUGACGCUUAAGCUCGAAGGUGCGGGUAUCAAACAGG
rnacentral:rRNA from 2 species